AUGAGCUCUCUCAUUGUUUCAAUAUACUUGACUGUACACAGACCUAUUCAACAUGAUAAUCAAACAAUUCCCCAAACAAUCUCAACUAAAUGGAAUUCAACAUUUUCCCUUCAACCAUGGCAAUUCGUUAUCACCCUUAAUCAACUCUCUGCAAGUCAUUCAAAGCACGAAAAUAAAUUCCACAUCACUUUUCUCACCACGUAA